UGUGCGUAUGUAUGUAUGUAUAUAUAUAUAAUUGGUAAUUCUAUUUUUGAUUGAUAAUAUGCAUAAAAUUAUUUUACUUUUUUUUUGGCUAUAGAAUGGAUGUGUAUGGGUUGGGUAUGGGGCGGGUAUGGGUUGGGUAUGGGGCGGGUAUGGAUUGGGUAUGGGGAAAUGGGUUACCCACGGGUAUUCUCGAACCCGUUGGGUAUGGAGAUGGGUAUCUCUUUUCUUACCCGAUUGGGUAUCGGGUAGGAUUUGGGUAUAGGGUAUUAAGU
rnacentral:lncRNA from 1 species